GCGCCGCUGUUGCCAGGGGAGCCGGGGCAGGGGAACGGGGCCGGGGUGCGGAGGCUGAUCAGUUCCGCCCGGCCCGGCCCGGCCCUUCCACGGGAAACGCGGGGAAACGCCGGCUAGAGAGCGGGGCCGCGGAGAGAAGCGGGACCACGGGAAAAAGCGGCCCCUCCGUGUCGGCCCUUCCGCCCGUGCGGGCCCGCCGGGCACCCUCUCUUGUAACCAAGCUUGGAGCCACCACCCAUCACCCACAGGCAGGAGCCAGCCCCGUACACAUCCCUGACCUCUGGGUUAUUACAUCUCCCAACCUGUGGGUUAUUACGGCUCCCUGACCUGUGGGUUACACCUCCUCAGGCCGCAGCAGCCAUGGACAAAGCUCUCAGUCACUUCCCCUCAGUGCCUGCUUGGAAACCAUUUCUCUGUUGGCGUGUGACACGUUCGGACGUGACCAGGGCACUUCCAUCACUCGCCCCGUUGAGGAGGCAGAGGAACAACAUCUGAGUGUCCCUUGAAGCUCGGAGGGCUGAGUGACUGAGGUCACUGUUCAUCCUAUGCUUCUGUUUCUAUUCCACCAAAACUCUCACUUAGGCAAAUGCAGCCCAAAGUCCUGGAAGCUCCCCCUGCUCGGCUUUACCCUGGAUGACUUCUCCGAGCCAGUGUCUGAUGUCUGAAAUGCAAUCGCAGUUAUGAAGGUUUGCAUACAAGGCCAUGAACUGCGGGUAACAACGGAGCCACCAGCAUUGUAAGAAAAAAAAAAGACGGAAUAAUGAGAUUAUCGCAGUUUAAAUUACUAAGCAACAGUUUCUCUGACAAUGAACUUAGUAACGCUCUGCCAUCUAUUUAAUCACGCUAAUGAGACAGAACAACUCCACUUAGAUACAAAUUACUCUGCAUUUCAUUUAAAUAAGGGUCAGGGAGCUAAAAGCCACACAAGCCACCACACUUCUGCUGUACAGCACAUCCAGCAAAAGACCUCCUUUGUUUCCAGAAUGGACCCAGGCUUUCUGGCCAUGAGCUGCCAAGGCAGGGCUGCACAAGGCAUCUUGCUCAAACCUCCCACCUCCGCUCCCCAACCGCCUGUGCGUGGGCCCAGAGCCUCUCUGGCUUGGGAACAGCUCCUUGGUUUGGAGAGGCUGACAGUCGAAGCCAAGCAGCACGGCUUGUUGAGAAUCUUCUCAUUUAUCCGGCUGGUGCCAUCAUGAUCAUCUUAAUAUAAAAAUCUGGUUUGGUAUGUGUCUCUCACCAUUUAAAACUGAUGACUUCCCUUGGAUAUUUAAAAAUUUUGUUUCAAAUCCAUGCCUCUUGGGCUGAAGCUGGUCGUGAGAGAGCAGGUCUGUAAUAAACUGAAGAAAAUUGA